rnacentral:rRNA from 1 species
UACAGAGGGUGCGAGCGUUAAUCGGAAUCACUGGGCGUAAAGAGUGCGUAGGUGGUGGUUUAAGUGUGAUGUGAAAUCCCUGGGCUUAACCUGGGAAUGGCAUCGCAAACUGGAUGACUAGAGAGCAGGAGAGGUGAGUGGAAUUUCCGGUGUAGCAGUGAAAUGCGUAGAGAUCGGAAGGAACACCUGAGGCGAAGGCGGCUCACUGGGCUGCUACUGACACUGAGGCACGAAAGCGUGGGGAGCAAACAGG